rnacentral:rRNA from 1 species
UACGGGGGGGGCAAGCGUUGUUCGGAAUUACUGGGCGUAAAGGGCUCGUAGGCGGCCAACUAAGUCGGAUGUGAAAUCCCCAGGCUCAACCUGGGAACUGCAUCCGAUACUGGAUGGCUUGAAUCCGGGAGAGGGAUGCAGAAUUCCAGGUGUAGCGGUGAAAUGCGUAGAUAUGCGGAGGAACACCGAUGGCGAAGGCAAUCCCCUGGGCCUGCACUGACGCUCAUGCACGAAAGCGUGGGGAGCGAACAGG